rnacentral:lncRNA from 1 species
AAGGAGAGGAGAAAGCUCUUGAAUGUUCGGUCACUUGGGGAAGAAAAAUUGAAGGUAAGUUCAUGGUAGUUUGCUUUUAUUUUGAGGUUCAUGAGUUCUUCUUGAUUCUACCUUAACUCUUGAAGCAUAUUUUGGUUUUUAGUUGUGUUGUGAGCAUUUGGUCAUGAAUUAAAAUGAAGGAAAUGGUUGUUGUUUCAUGUUCUUUUGAUGAAAAAUGGAAGAUAGGUGAAGUUGAGCCAAACAAAUGAGCAUGCAUGUGCCUUAGAUGCUAAGGGGAAAAAUCGGCUAACAUGUUGUGCUUUAAAAUGAUGAAAUGGAGACUAUACUUAAGUAAACUCAUAGAUAUGUGAUGAUUGAUUGGUGAUAUACAUGUUUAAAUAACAAGCAUGCAAGUUAGGUGUGAAAGAGUGAUUUGGUAAUAAAUCUGCUUGGGACAGCAGCAGUAACGUGACUUUGGAAAAUCACCAUAAAUUGUGGGAGAUGAGUUAGAAGCUGCAUAAAUUAUGUAAUUAAAGGUUAAUUAAUCUAGUUUUAAAUGGAAUAAACGAGAACAUAUUUUGAAUUCUGUACAAUGAGAAAUUUCUGUCUUCUCUGAUUUUAAAUGAUUGUAAAAUCUUCAAAAUAACAAUGCCAUGUUUUUUAAAUUAUUUUUAAAAAGUUUUUUGAGAAUUUAUAUUGCAAGAUUUUGUGCAAAAUGGCUAAAUUUUAUAUUUGAAGUGAAAAUUUUAAAAUUAAUUAUGUUAUAAAUAAAUUAGUAAAACAAUUUAGAAAUUUGUUAUUUGAUUAUUUUUAUGUACGGUUGUAUGUAAAUUAUUUGAUUAUUAGUGACAGACAUAUUUUAGGGACAUAAAAAUUGUAAACUUAUUGUAUAAGGUAUUUAGCAACAAAAUUUUAGAAUAUAUAUAUCUAAGGAUCCAAAUAAUUUUAUUUAAUUAGAGAAUCAGCCACAUCAACUUUAAUUAAAUGAAAUUAUUUAUUGCAAUAAGGAUUUCAUAAAGGAUUAUGGACAUUAGAUAUAGCACAAUAACUUAACCGCAAUCUUAAAUAAAGUUUAAGAAUAAAUAUCUUUAGUUUUUAUUAAAUGUUUUAUAUUGCUUGAUCACAUACGGAAUCUUUAGUUUAUUCAUAAUUAUCUGAAAACACCUAUAUGGGAAUGUCUGAUAACUGGUUGUUUUGCUCAACAACAUCAGGGCUUUUACAGUGUAGGCUAGGUGAUUAAUGUUGAAGCUGAUCAAUAUUUUUAUUCCUCUCCGAGACAAGAUUGUCCAUUUAUGAAACAUCUUCACUAUAAAAACUUCAAGGGAGGCUCUCCUGUCUUCCUUUCAUGUUUAAUGCUGACAUAUCAUGUUCCUUUUGUCUGGUUUUCCACAGUUACAAAUAUUCUUAUCUAAAUUUAGUUUUAUAUUGAAAUAAACUCUUAAUAUGCAUCAAUUUUAGGAUAGAUUACUUAUUUGGGUAUGAUAAUAGAACCAAAAGACUCUUGACUUGUAGAGAAGUAAUUAAAAGUUUUUGUCGGAUAUUAGUUUAGUAUAGGUUUAAAUUCUGUCCUACAACUCCCAUCUACUAGGAGGAUGAAAAACACAAAAAAUGUAAAACUAUUUUUGGUAAUGAUUUUUAAAAAAAUUAUUCAUAUGGAAAUAAUAAAAAAAUUACUCAACAACAUACGAAAAAAAAUAUUAGCCAUUAUGAAUAAAACGUUUAAUAAAAACUAAAUAAAAUUAUGAUAAUGAAAAUCACUUAAAAUUAGGAAUAAAAUGUUAAUUAUUAAAGUUAGAGACAUUAUCUUUAGUUAAAUAAAAUUAUUAAAGUUAAAAUUCCCGUACAAAAGCAUAGAUAUUAAAUUUCAUUCCAUAAUUUAUUAAGAUAAAAUUAUUAAAUGAUUUUCAUAGUUAUUCAUAGGAAUUAUGAAAAUGAAUUUAACAAUUUUUAUCAAAAAGAUGAUAAAUAAUUCUAUCAUAAAAUGGAUCUAAUUGAAUUAAAAUUUUAGUCCACAAACAAUUUUUAUGUCACUAGAUUCAUUAUUUAGCCCACAAAAAUCGCUGAGAAUUUCUAAAAAUUAAAUUUUCAAGAAAAUUCUUUAAUCAAAUUCAGGGGCAAGCCAGGAAAUUUCAAGUGGGGGGGGGCGAGAUAAUGAAAAAUAAUAAAUUUAAAAAUAAAAAUUAAUUAAAGAAAAAUAAUUUAAUAAGUAAAAAUAAAUUAGAAAGAAAUCUUAAAAUUUAUUUGAAUUGCACUCUUCGAUCCUUGACCUUACUAAAAUCAUCAAUUAUUUCGUUUAUAUCAAACUUUUCUGCAAUUUCUUUCUCAAUGUACAUAACCAAAGAACUUCUUAAAAAAUCAUCUUCCAUCUUGCUACGAAGUCGAGUCUUCACAAUCUUCAUAGCAGAAAAAGUACGUUCUGAGGAUGCUGUUGAAACUGGAAGAGUUAAUAUAAGACGAAUCAACCUGUCAACGAGUGGGUACAUGACUGACUUUCCACUUUCAACUAAGCUUCUGCAAAGUUCAGAAAGUGUUGAUAUUUUUCUCAAAUCAGGAUGCUUACAUACAUCAAGUUCAUAAUGCUUCAACUCAUAUGGGAGACCUUCUUUCUCUUGUUAAGAAAAAUCUUUUGGAUAGAACUUGUUCACAAGAAUGCAAAUUUUAUCAAUAUCAAAUAACUUGAAAAACUCCUUGGGAUUUAAAGCUGUAGUAAGAGUGAGAAGCUCGACAACAUUUUUGUUAAACCUGCUCUUCAAUUCUUGCAACUGAGUAUCUAUUGUAGCAAAAAAUAUAUCCACUCGAUAAUGAUGCUCCACUGUAACAUCUUCCUUCUUGUUGCGACUACGACCCACAAUGUAUUGAGCAUUCAUAUCUGGAAAUCCAACUCCGAAGUUUCACAAAAAGAUAUCACAUUUUUCAACAAUUCAUUCCAUCCAUCAUCUCUCAACUUUUGAAUUAAAUCUUUCGUUGUCAAAACUAAACUCAUGGCAUUUAAUAUAUCUUGAGAACGACGUUGCAGAGCUUGACAAAGGUUAUCAGUUUUCCCUAAAAUUUUCUUCAUCACAUGCAAAAUAAAAAUAAACUCAAAAGAUCUCAAUCUAUUAUAUGCGUUAUGAGCAUCUCCUCGUUGAGAAUAGUUAGAAGUGGUAUUUUUUAGAUUUUCAAGAAUUGUGCUAGUAGCAUUGUACAUCUUCAGUAAACUAGUAACUGAAUUUAAAUGGGAACUCCAUCGAGUCUCACCAGGACGUUGUAAAGUUCCAAUCUGAUUCAUUCCUGUUCCAGUUGCUAACUCAUUGAUGGAUACCAAACGAGAUAUUUCAGCUGCUUGGGCUUUUUGUAAUUCAUCGUGUCGUUUGGAAGAAGCCGAAGCAAUAUUAACAAUAUCAGACAAGUCUUUAAAAAAUUGAUGCACUUCAACCACUUCUCUAGCUGCUGCAACCAAAGCUAACUGAAGACGAUGAGCAAAACAGUGAACAUAAUAAGCAUAUCGACAAUCAUUCAAAAUAAAAGCUUGCAAGCCGUUAAAUUCCCCACGCAUAUUGCUUGCUCCAUCAUAGCCUUGACCUCGGAUAUUUUGUAUGUCAAAACUAUGUUGCAAGAGAACAUUAAAAAUUACAUUCUUCAAAGUCAAUGAUGCAGUAUCUUUAACAUGGACUAUAUCAAAAAAUCAUUCUUUUACCUGUCCUUGUUUAUCAACAAAUCUCAAAAUAAUUGCCAUUUGCUCUUUUUUCGACUCGUCUCUCGCUUCAUCCACAAUAAUGCUGAACUUUCUAUCACCAAUUUCUUCACGAAUUACAUUACGAACUCUAUUGGCAUAAAUUUGCAAUAUCUCUUUUUGUAUUGUUGAAGAAGUAUAACUAGCAUUUUGUGGAGCACUUUUCAAAACAUCUUCAACUUUCUCAUCAUACGAUGCUAAUAGUGAUAACAGUUCAAGAAAGUUCCCACGAUUUUUUGAUCCCGAGCUUUCAUCAUGACCUCUAAAAGCACACCCUUGAAAUGACAACCAUCGAACAACAUCUAUACUAGUUUUCAGACGUAGACGAAUAGCUGAAAUUUGUUGUGUAGUUUUACUAUCAAGUGAUACAUCAAUAUGUUGAGCUUGAUUCAUUAAAUCUACAUAAGCUCAUUGUGCAUUGUUAUGUAGUGAAUUCGGAUCUUUUCCCAUAUGUGUCAAAAAAGCACAAUUACAUCCAUCGUGUACCUUUUUCCAAUUACUAAAGCCAUUAUGAGUAAAUGUAGUUGAUCCAAAACGACUAGUUGGAUUGCUAUUAAAAAGAAAACAAGGCAAACAAAAUACUGCAUCUUUAGAAGGUGAAUAUUCUAACUAGGAAAAUUGUUUAAACCAUGAUGGUUGAAAAUAAUGAGGAUGCUUUUUUGAAUUGGAAGCAGGAUAUUCUGAAAGAAUAGGUUGAUAAGGUCCAGCCUUAAUAUAAGCUCUUUGAAUUUCAUCACGUAUAUUAACUGGAUACUCCUAUAUUUGCUUACGUAACCCAGGUUCACGUUCUAAGUUAGACAAAUCAAGUGCCUCAUCUUCAACUCUAGGAAUUUUAGAAGGACGAGCAUCAGAGUUUAAAGGAACAAACGAUGAAGGUGGUACCUCAAUUUGAGAUGCUUCUGAAGGUGAUUGUGUAGUCUCUGUACUUUUCUUUUUAAAAAACGAAUCAAUUGUUUUCGACUUCAUAACUACAAUAUCUUAAAAGAUAAAAAAAAAAUUAAUAACUAUAAAAUAAAAUUAAACUAUAAACUUUAAAACACAAUAAAAACAAAGUUAAUAACUACAAAAUAAAAUUACAAUCUAAACUUUAAAACACAAUAAAAACAGUUGUAAAAUUAUAAAAAGAUGAAAAGAAAAACCUUAGAAGAUGAACUCGAAGCCGCGUUUGAAGGAAAAAUGUUGAUGACAAUAGUUGUUAAUAGCAAUAGGAAAAGAGACUUAUUUUUCACUAGUUAACAAAUUGAAUUUUAACCAAGUUCACAUUUAAUAUUAUAUUAAAAACUAUCAUCUAAAAAAAGAAAGUUGGAAAUAUAUCAAUAUUAUAUUUAAUGUUAUAUUAAUGUUGAUUACAAUAAUAUAUUAUAUAAAUAUUUAAAGUUAAAUAGUUAAAAUAUAUUAUAUGGAUAAAAUAAAAAAAUAAAGUUUUUUUUAAUGUUCAAAGUUGGAAAGGGGGGCCAAACAACAAUUUAAGGGUGGGGGCAAAGUUUUAAAAUCUAAAGGGACUAAACAAUAAAUAUUUUUUUUAUAAUUUUAGGGGGGCCGGGGCCACUGCCAGCCCCCUCAGAUUCGCUACUGAUCAAAUUAUCUAAUUAAACAAUUCUCACGACUGCCCAAUUUAAUUCUACAUCAAAUUAAUCGACUCAGUUAAAUUAUUUUCAAAUUCAUAGAAUUUUCUUCCAAUUCAAACGUAGUCUGAUUGAACUUUUGUUGAGGGACCAAUCAAAUAUAUACAAUUAGACUCUAGUAAUUGCAAUUAUAUCUAGAAGCAUCAUUCCAAUAAUUCACAACUUAUUUAAUCAUGGAAGUUAGUCAACAAGAAGUAACAUGAUUGAAAACUUUUUAUUGUAUACCCUGCUUUAUCUAAUGACCUCGCCAUGUGUGUGUUAGCUUUGUAUGAUAUCCUUGAUUCCUUCUUGUUAAAUUUGUUCACUCAAUACAAUCUCAAUUUAUCUUAUUGUCACCAUUGUGUCCUCUCAAUAAUUAAUAUGAUUACCAUUAACAAAAGGCUGUGAUAAAUUGCUUGUUUGAGAAUAAGCAACUCGUGGCCACGUUUCAGAUUUAUCAAUCCACAUAAUUUCAAUUAGAGGAUAUCAUUAACUCAUUAAUCGAGCUAUGAAUUCUAUUAUUGCUAGUAAAGUCAUGUCAUACAUAAGUCAUGUAUCCAACAUCCUAGCUAUGGGCUCGAUCAUCUUCAAAGCAUAAGCCUCCACUUAUAUCAAAGCACACGGGUUACAUACGCAUGGUCAGUGACUAAUUCAGGAUUUAAGUAAAUCACGCCAUGAAUGUUACAAGUGAAUUAAUUCACAAAUGGAUUUAGAAUUAAUUCAACUUGGGUCCAAUCCAAUGUAUCAUUCUUCUGAUGAGUACAUUUAUUUCUCUACCCAUGAAUCAAUUGCUCCCAUAGCCAAGAAUAACUAUUUCCCCAAUUGAAAUUGUAAACUAUAUAUUAAUCCUUCUAAGUAUUUGAAUCAAACACCCACUUUGAUUCUUUUAUGAGAUUACAGACUUGUUUAGAUUAUCUAUUGAAUUAAGUUGUCUUUCUCAUAAUGUAAACAUUUUUACAGUGUCAAUUAACAUCAAUUUGAACUUAGGCAAUCAAUGAGCUAAUAUUUGCUUGUCACAGUGUAACACCCCCUAACCCUUAACAGGGUUACGGAGCAUUACUGGACAUUACAGAUCAAAUACCAAUAAUUCAUAAUUAUUCACACAUAAACAUCAUAAUUCAAUCAUAAAGUCCUUUUAUGAACCUUCGAGGCCCAAAACACGUGUUAGAAACAAAUCGGGACUUAACCGUGUGCUUUGAAAAUUUUUCGUGCAAUUUCAAAUUUUCCUAGAUGCAGGGGUCACAUGCCCGUGUGAUCAAGGAACACACCCGUGUGAUCAAGGAACACGCCCGUGUGGUCCUGAGACAUACCCAUGUCUCAAGUCGUGCCUUACCCCUUGCAACUCUUUGACUUACCUCACACGACCAAGCCACACGCUCAUGUACUAGGCUGUGUUCCUCACACGGCUGAGACACACGCCCGUGUCUCUGCCCGUGUGGCAAAACCUGAGCAUUUUUUUUGAAAAAAAUUAAAUUGCAAGGGACACACAGCCUAACCACACAUCCAUGUGUAAGCCGUGUGUCUCACAUAGUCUGGUCACACGCCCGUGGGUCAGGCCGUGUGGACUCAAAGUUAGCCUUAUACAUCAAGUUUACCAACCCUGCCAAUUUUGAUCAAAAAACAACUCAAAAACCAAUUGUUCAAUCAAUCUAGAACACAUUCAAAUACUUCUAAUAUAUGCCAAAUUCAUCAAUCUAAGAACCUAAUCAAAAUACUCUUUUAAAGAUUUCACAUAUAAUGUCUAAAUAAUUUAAUUAAACAUCAUUUAAACCAUUCCUAAAAUAUAUAUAAAUUUCAACCAAAAUACUUCACUAAAUUACUUAAAACAUGAAACAUAUAUUCACUUAUAUAAUUAAACUAAUUUCAUAUUAUAACAAUAUCAUUUACAAACAUUUUUCCAAAAUAACCAAUAUAAAACAUCCUUGGUACAUGUCAUUACCAAAAAGAAAGGUACUUCACCACUUUGAGUUCGGGGUCGGCUUUGGAUGCUGAUUUGGCAAUUCGACUUUAACCUAACCUACGCACGAAAACAAACCAUACGCUGAGUAUAAAACUCAGUGAUAUUUCUAUAAUCCGAAUACUUUAGAGAAAAUAAUAUUAUAAAGCAUACACAUUUAACCAUAUGAGAACAUUAAUCAAUCAAUAAUUCAAAUCUUCCAUAUAACCUUCAUUUCAUCAAUAGCUAAUUCAAAAAUAUUUUUCUCACUUUGAUUCACAUAACAUUUAGCAAUAGCAAUUCUCUUUUCAUGAACAUUUGAUUCAUGCAUUUCAUUUGCACAGUUCAAUUGAAUAACAACUUCCAGUUUCACAUCCAAUAUCAAUUUUAUUGCCAGUUCAUUUAUUUACCCUUAUUAACACAACUUGGACUUUGGUGGACACACGGUUCCAACCAAAAUACACCAGUAUGGCACCUAGUGCCUCAUCAGAUAAUUCGAAGUAUUAGAUUAACACCCAGUGUCUCAUCAGCCAUGCGAAGUAAAUUGGUACCCAGUACCUCAUUGAAUUUAUCUAAAGCAAUAGUUUGACACCCAAUAUUGUCUCAUCGACUCGUAGUCAAAGUAUCCUUGAACACUUCUAAUCCUAAGGCAUGUCAACUAUAUCCGACUCAACCCGACAUAGUUAAUAGGGUUUCAAAUCACAUUUCAAUUUCCAACCAAUAUAUAUAUUUUUAAUUAAAAAAUCACAAAGUCAAUUCAAUUCAAUUCCAAUACCACAAUACUAAUACUCAAAUAUCACAUUAAUCACAAUUACACAUACAUUCAAUUCAGUAUAAAAAAUGCUAACACUUACCUUAAUUUCUUAUCAUAAACAUUUAAAUCAAACACAACAAUUAAUAAUUAAAUUCAAAUUAUAGAAAUAUAAAUCGUAAUUCUCGAGCUAUUCCUUGUUAACUUUAUCUUUUCCUUUUUUAGUUGAGGUCUCCGGCUCAACGUUCGGCCAAUAAAAUCUCUAUCUUCUUGGCUGUCAAAUCCUUACCACUCCGAGAUGCUGUAAUUUUGUGUAUCUGCCCACUUUCUCGGAGCAUUUGGUUGCAUUUGGCAUGUCAUAACUAUUGUGAUCAAUCUGCACAUUUAAUUAAGCUUAUUUAAGUAAAAUUACAGUGCCAUGUCUGAUUCAUUAUUAUAUGAAGUAAUUUCUUCAUUAUUAUAUGAAGUAAUUUUCUUCAUUAAAGGGAAAGGAAAGUUAAGCUUACAGUCACAAAGAGUAGCUCUAAGGAAGGACAAAGUUCAAAGAAUGUGAUUAAAGCGUCACAAUUGUACAAUCCCUUUGAAUAAUUAUCAAUCCACCAUAGCUCCUUUAGUCUAUAAAAUUGGAAAAAUGAUGAUAGUGUUAAACAAAUUAAUGCCUAUAUUUGAAAAAAAAUCAAUUAAUUUGAAUUUAGUUACAUUCAAUAAAAAAUUAACAUUAAGUAAUAAUUUUUUAAUUAAAGAAUUCUUGGUUUCAUAAAAAAAAAAGAAAACAGAAAUAUAAGUAUUAAGAUUUAAAUUUCAAACUUGUUAGAUAUCACUUUUUAAAGAUAAUUGCAUAAAUCAACUAAAUUUAAUUUAGGUAUUGUUAUACAUUAUAAUCACACUAGAAGCAACAUAAUUUGAUAGAAAAAAAAGUCGUAGAUGCCUGAAUUCAAAUCUUAAACUAUCACCCCCUUAAAAGUGAUUGUUUGAAUCAAUUAAGCUAAAUUUCAAGUUUUUUUUAUUGGUUAGGACUAGAAACUAGAGUUGGAGAAAUAGAGAUAACAUACCUCAAAAGUCCAUUUGCACAAGUUAAGAAUUUCAGAAUUCUUGAUGGUCAGCAGCACUCGAUCAAAAUCACAUGUUUUGAAGGUAUUGUAAGCAGAUCCUUGCCUAGAAUCAGGCAUAGCAUUUCCAAGGUUGAAAUGAAACUCAGGAAGAAACCAUGGAUAAUAUGGAGAGAUUUUAAGUGUGGACGAUAAAAGAUGGUGAAGCUCAAAAGCUUUGUAUCAGAAGCAAUGCUCAUGGAUUCCAAUCCAUGGCAUCCAAUGAUUUUCAGGUUCUUAAGAAGCUGAAAUUUCGAGACCAUACACAAAGCUGCUUCAUUGCUAAGGUGGUUUACUGAUAUCAAAUUAAGGGUUAACGAAAAAAGUAGAGGGAGUUGGCUGAUGAUGACUUAUGAUUUUUGGGGUUAUUCAACUCUAUUUGCCAACCAAAAUGUGUUGGAUUUUGCAUGUUUUCAGCUGAGAAAUGAAGGUGAAGCUUAUUGUUAGGUGCAAUUAUGGUGCCGUAUUCGCUGCAAUGGAACUGAAAUCUUCCGGUAUUCCUUGUUGGAUUGUGCUCAUCAAAGUUUGCAAUGAGCCCAAAAACUGCAGUGGGAACAUCUUCUUUGGUGCCAUGGUGAACCAAUGCUAGGUUCCAUAGAAAUUUUUAUCGGGUUGAUAAGAAAAUGGUUUGGAUAUAGCAGAUUCAAAAGGGAAGUAAAGAAAUUAUGUAGAAAAGUAGUUCAUCUGGUAAACUACUUAUGAAAUCUUCUUUUCUUGGGUGGUUUGCAAAAAUGGUGCAAAAAUGGUGAUCAAUCACAAGAUCAAUAUCAGUUGCUUUUACAUACGGAUCUGAUGAGUUUAAACCUUAGCCAAAUUCAAACGUCACAAGCAACUUUGAUUUUGAUUAAUUUUAUACGGUAGCCAUAGGCCUGUUUGAUAAAACUUUUUAUUUAUGCUAAAUAAUUACAAAGAAAUGUUCAUUCAAAGUGUCAAUAAUGACAAGCACUUACUCUUGUCUUUUCCUGCCAAAUUUCGUUGGAAAAACCAUAAUCAAACCUGAUCAGUCAGAUGAAUCAGUUAAUCCAAGAAAUGACAGCUUAAUUGGAAUCAUAAAAUCAAAAACUGGUUCAAUGCGAAAAAACCAGUUGAAUAAAAAAAUUUGCUCAAGUUGUUUAAAAGUCUGAUAUAACAUGAUCCAAGCUAAUUUAAAUAUUUAAUUUAAUUUUUAUAAUUUAUAAAAUAAAUGUUUAUAUUAUUAUUUAUUGUGUUUAUUACUUUUUCUAAUUUAAAUUUUUUAUAUAUUUUCUAUAAUUAAAAAAAAUUAUUUUAUGACGAUGCAAUUAGUUGAAGUGAUUAAAUAAAAAAAGCAGUUGUCUAGUAGAUUUGAUCACAGAUAUGAUUUUUAUGACAUUGAGAAAAAUAAUUCACAUUUAGCUAAAAAUGGUUUUCCAAUGAUCAUGAAAGAAAUUACACCUAUUGAAUUUGAAACUUUAAUUUAUUCAGUGUUACCUAAUUUCAUAUUUUUUUAAUGUUAGGGUUGAGUUACUGAUAAGUUAUAUCUGUCAACAUAUAAUUGAAAUUAGAAAAGUAAAACAAUAAAUACGGGAAAUAGUUAUGCAUUUCAACUUUUUCCCUAUAUUUGCAAGACUUUGUUUAGAGAGUAGCUUUGCAAUAUGUAAUUUAAGUUCAAUUCAUUUACCAUAUUGUAAUUUCACUUCUAUAUAAUUAUUUAUUAGAAUCAUAAAAUUAUAUAUAACUUAAUGAUAAUACUCUAAAAUGACAUAUUUUUAUGUGUUAAUUACAUAUAUAUUUUGAGUACGAUCCUACUAAUUUGUGUUAUUUAUGGUUUUUUAUCUUGCAGGAAUUAAAUUAAAGGCAAAAAGAAAUUUGAGGACAAAAAGCGUAAAUUUAAAGACAAAACGGGUAUACCGUCCGACAAGCUCUGACGCAAUCGAGAGUCAUGGUGACCAUCGACCAUUGUCGACCCAAGGCAGGACCUACCGGUCCCGAGUGAAUAUACUGCCACCAAAAUGUCGUCUUGUUAAAUAAUCAAUGCCAAAAACUAGAUGACAAAGCAUAGUAGAAACUACUGAUAUGCUAAAAUCUUAUAGACUUGAGAUUUUGUUCUUUCAAAUUAACUCACAAGUAUUUUAAAGAAGGCGACUUUCUCUUUUCUAAAGAUGGAAUGUUAGAAAUUUUAUGUAUAUGUAAUUUGAAGACCAUAAUCUUAUUAUAUAAUUGUUGC